GAUGAACGCUGGCGGCGUGCCUAACACAUGCAAGUCGAACGGAGUGUCGAGAGCUUGCUUUUGACACUUAGUGGCGGACGGGUGAGUAAUGCGUGAGCAACCUGCCUUUCAGAGGGGGACAACAGUUGGAAACGACUGCUAAUACCGCAUAACAUACAGAGACGGCAUCGUUUUUGUAUCAAAGGAGCAAUCCGCUGAAAGAUGGGCUCACGUCUGAUUAGCUGGUUGGCGGGGUAACGGCCCACCAAGGCUUCGAUCAGUAGCCGGACUGAGAGGUUGAACGGCCACAUUGGGACUGAGAUACGGCCCAGACUCC
rnacentral:rRNA from 1 species